CCUACGUGAGGCAGCAGUGGGGAAUAUUGCGCAAUGGGCGAAAGCCUGACGCAGCGACGCCGCGUGAGGGAUGAAGGUCUUCGGAUCGUAAACCUCUGUCAGCAGGGAAGAACGGUCACUGUGCUAAUCAGCAGUGAAUUGACGGUACCUGCAAAGGAAGCACCGGAUAACUCCGUGCCAGGAGCCGCGGUAAUACGGAGGGUGCGAGCGUUAAUCGGAAUUACUGGGCGUAAAGCGCUCGUAGGCGGUAUGUCAAGUAAAGGGUGAAAUCCCCGCGCUCAACGUGGGAACUGCCGUUGAAGCUGGCAAACUGGAGUGUGUUAGAGGAUAGUGGAAUUCCAGGUGUAGGAGUGAAAUCCGUAGAUAUCUGGAGGAACAUCAGUGGCGAAGGCGACUAUCUGGCACAUAACUGACGCUGAGGAGCGAAAGCGUGGGUAGCAAACAGGAUUAGAUACCCUUGUAGUC
rnacentral:rRNA from 1 species